rnacentral:rRNA from 1 species
AGCGAACGCUGGCGGCAGGCUUAACACAUGCAAGUCGAGCGGGCCCUUCGGGGUCAGCGGCAGACGGGUGAGUAACGCGCGGGAACGUGCCCUUCGGUUCGGAAUAACUCAGGGAAACUUGAGCUAAUACCGGAUACGCCCUUAUGGGGAAAGGCUUGCUGCCGAAGGAUCGGCCCGCGUCUGAUUAGCUAGUUGGUGAGGUUAUGGCUCACCAAGGCGACGAUCAGUAGCUGGUCUGAGAGGAUGAUCAGCCACACUGGGACUGAGACACGGCCCAGACUCCUACGGGAGGCAGCAGUGGGGAAUAUUGGACAAUGGGGGCAACCCUGAUCCAGCCAUGCCGCGUGAGUGAUGACGGCCUUAGGGUUGUAAAGCUCUUUUCUCCGGGACGAUAAUGACGGUACCGGAGGAAUAAGCCCCGGCUAACUUCGUG